ACUUUCUCUUUCUCCGAGAUCCAAGAUCGACAAGCCUCGAUUAAAGCACAGGUAUUCUGAAUCUUUACUACAUACUCCUUUAUCGACAGAUUACCUUUCUUAAGCGAAUGUAAAUCAUGGCGAAUGCAAGAUAACUUGACACCUGUGACGGCAGUGAAAAGGCAAGUGGCAGUGUUCCAAACAUCGCACGCCAUCCUAGCAUAUGUAAAAGAAGACAACAGUGAAGGACUAAUAGUAGAAAAUAACCAGAAAGAGGCAAGUAACCUGUCCUGCUGAACUAAUGCUGAGGCAUCCGGAUUUGGAACUAGAGAUCCCUCCGAAGACGGCACAAAAUGCGGCAGAACAGGUAACGUUCCCUCCAAAAAAAACCAGUCAAUUCAUAACCUUCAAUAAUCAAGUGAAUAUGUUGCUGCCUCUGUCAAUCAUUGUUGUCCGACGUUUACCAUGUUAAUAUCUACAAAAACUUGAAAGAAAAAUAGAAUAUGCAGAGAAUGAUUUUUGUAUUAUUAUCUUGAAUUUAACCAGUACAACUAUAGUAUUUAUAAAAUGUGUAUGAGUAACUGCUGCUAACAAUCUCACUUAACAGCAUAACUGCUUGUAUAACAAACUAACAACUAAUAGACUAAUAGAGUCUUUAUCUAUACUCUAACACUUUAAACAGAGCAAGUUAGAUUCAUCCUGGUUGGUUUUAAUUAAGUAAAGCAGUUCAUUUUCUAUCAUAGGCAAUUAAUUUAAAAGUUGAAAAUUUAGUUUUAACACCUAUGAAAAACAAAAAUAUGGCAAUAUGAAAAAUGAAAUAAAAAAUCGAGUAAUAUGAAAGAAUGAGAUGAAAACCCCUUUAUGCAUUUGGAUGACAUGAUUGAGAAGUUGUAACUACUGAAAACCAGAGCCAAAAAUGAAAGGAAAUAAAAACUGUUGAAAUCGUUUAGGGCCUCCAUCCCCUUCUUCACCAUCAUGGCUAAAGCUUCUUUUGGUCUCGGCAGGUCUCAUUUCUGUAGCAUCAGCAUCACUCUCUGCAUCUACGUAAAAUACAAGAACACCACAUCUCUCCACCUUGAUAAUUUUUCUGCUGCUUCUUCAUAAUGAUGGAAAUUUUUGAUGUAGAAAUCAAAUGAUGCCUCCUCAUAAUUCUUGUCUCUUUUAACCAUUUUGAUGCUAGAUAGAAUAAACACGUGAUCACCCAUGCAUUUCUCUGACUCAGAAGCAUCCAAGAAAGAUAUGGUACUUUUGAACUUUUCAUGACCACCAUCAGCGGCUGUAAGUUAGUAGCCACAAAUACAUUUAAGACUUCUCAAGCGAGGGCAGUGAGCGAGAUCAGCCACAAGGCAGAUAACAAAAACGAAAAAUCUGCUCCCACCACCCCCAUUUGGGGCUAUCUUCAAACUUAAGGAAGAAUUCAUACUCUGAUACUUGAACUUAUUUGUUGAAAUUUUGUUUCUUGGGAAACAACAAAUCAAACUUGGAAGGAUAUCACCCAGGUAUUUCCUACCAUAUGUCGCUGCCCGUUCCUUAGCUAGGGAUCCAAUUUUGAGCAUGGCAUUUGCCUCAAUGUUAUUAGUUGACUCUUGAUUCAAGUUGAAGCAAUUACAGAAUAACAUGCAAAACACACCAUCACCUUCAUCACCUAACGAACCAAACUGAUAUAAAUUUUGAUCUGCAAAGGGAACUUUUUCUAAUGAUGUGCAGUCAUGUACAUUCAAGUCGAGCAGAUAUGGUGGAAGCUCUGAGAGUAAUUUGAGGCUCUUGCAACGAUCCAUAUGCUUACACAUAAGGCUUUUGAACCUUAAGCUUGGUGAGCGCACAUCAACAAUUGGAAAUUUAACGAUUACACAACCACUAAGAU
rnacentral:lncRNA from 1 species